rnacentral:pre_miRNA from 1 species
AGCCUUUUGUAUCCGUGCUUAGAUUUUGUCACACACCAGAUCACAAGGGCUGAUAAGACUCACAAGAUAUGUUUAACA